rnacentral:rRNA from 1 species
AUUGAACGCUGGCGGCAUGCCUUACACAUGCAAGUCGAACGGUAGGGGGAGCAAUCCCCUGAGAGUGGCGAACGGGUGAGUAAAGCAUCGGAACGUGCCCAGUUGUGGGGGAUAACUACUCGAAAGAGUGGCUAAUACCGCAUGCGACCUGAGGGUGAAAGCGGGGGACCGAAAGGCCUCGCGCAGUUGGAGCGGCCGAUGUCAGAUUAGCUAGUUGGGGGGGUAAAGGCCCACCAAGGCGACGAUCUGUAGCUGGUCUGAGAGGACGACCAGCCACACUGGGACUGAGACACGGCCCAGACUCCUACGGGAGGCAGCAGUGGGGAAUUUUGGACAAUGGGCGCAAGCCUGAUCCAGCCAUGCCGCGUGCAGGAAGAAGGCCUUCGGGUUGUAAACUGCUUUUGUCAGGGAAGAAAUCCCUUGGGUUAAUACCUCGGGGGGAUGACGGUACCUGAAGGAAGCACCGGCUAACUCCGUGCCAGCAGCCGCCGUAAAAC